rnacentral:rRNA from 1 species
UACGUAGGGUGCAAGCGUUGUCCGGAAUUAUUGGGCGUAAAGAGCUUGUAGGCGGUUUGUCGCGUCUGCUGUGAAAUUUCGGGGCUCAACCCCGAACUUGCAGUGGGUACGGGCAGACUAGAGUGUGGUAGGGGAGACUGGAAUUCCUGGUGUAGCGGUGAAAUGCGCAGAUAUCAGGAGGAACACCGAUGGCGAAGGCAGGUCUCUGGGCCAUAACUGACGCUGAGAAGCGAAAGCAUGGGGGAGCGAACAGGA